UGAUGGUGAUGAUGAUGAUGAUGAUGGUGAUGAUGAUGGUGAUGUAAUGAUGGUGAUGAUGAUGAUGAUGUAAUGAUGGUGAUGAUGAUGAUGAUGGUGAUAAUGAUGGAGGUGAUGAUGGUGGUGGUGAUGGUGAUAGUGAUGAUGUUGAUAAUGAUGGUGGUGAUGAUGGUGGUGGUAAUGAUGAUGAUGGUGAUGGUAAUAGUAAUGAUGCUGAUAAUGAUGAUGAUGGUGAUAAUGAUGAUGAUGGUGGUGAUGCUGAUGAUG